CAGUAGCCGCGGUAAUACAGAGGGUGCAAGCGUUAAUCGGAAUUACUGGGCGUAAAGCGCGCGUAGGUGGUUCGCCAAGUUGGAUGUGAAAUCCCCGGGCUCAACCUGGGAACUGCAUCCAAAACUGGCGAGCUAGAGUAUGGUAGAGGGUGGUGGAAUUUCCUGUGUAGCGGUGAAAUGCGUAGAUAUAGGAAGGAACAUCAGUGGCGAAGGCGACCACCUGGACUGAUACUGACACUGAGGUGCGAAAGCGUGGGGAGCAAACAGGAUUAGAGACCCGUGUAGUCCCUGUCUCUUAUAC
rnacentral:rRNA from 1 species